rnacentral:rRNA from 1 species
AGUGAACGCUGGCGGUAUGCCUAACACAUGCAAGUCGAACGGCAGCACAGUAAGAGCUUGCCCUUACGGGUGGCGAGUGGCGGACGGGUGAGGAAUACAUCGGAAUCUACUUUUUCGUGGGGGAUAUCGUAGGGAAACUUACGCUAAUACCGCAUACGACCUACGGGUGAAAGCAGGGGAUCUUCGGACCUUGCGCGAUUGAUUGAGCCGAUGCCGGGUUAGCUAGGUGGCGGGGUAACGGCCCACCAAGGCGACGGUCCGUAGCUGGUCUGAGAGGAUGAUCAGCCACACUGGAACGGAGACACGGUCCAGACUCCUCAGGGAGGCAGCAGUGGGGAAUAUUAGACAAUGGGCGCAAGCCUGAUCCAGCCACACCGCGUGUGUGAGGAAGGCCUUCGGGUUGUAAAACCCUUUUGUUAGGAAAGAAAAGCAGCAGGUUAAUAUCCCGCUGUUCUGACGGUACCCAAAGAAUAAGCACCGGCUAACUACGUG